UCCCCGAUAGUCUAGUGGUGAGGAUAUCUGCUUGUCAUUGAAAACAUCAAUAAUUCGCAGGGGACCGGGGUUCAAUUCCCCGUCGAGGAG